ACUGCUAAGUGUCCUCCCUCCCCUUCCCUUCUCCUAAAAGAAAAUCUCCUGUCUCAGUCUCCUCCGCUCCUUGCGCCAUUUCGCAGCUUGAACAGGGGAGGGGCGCGGGCGCCGAGCUCCAUCUGGCGAGCAGGGUAGGGGAGGGGAAGGGAUCCUGCUCAUGGACCCUGAGAUCUAGACGUCAACGUGCUUCCUGGAAAGAGAGAGGCUCAGGCAUGAGAGCAUACCUCUAAAAUAAUGUCCGUGCUUACCUAUGUGCUUGAUAACAUAGGCUCAUCCUGUAGCAGAUCUCAUUCUUUAAGUGAGGCUGAAACAGCCGAAAAUGCAAAAUCUGCAGACAUUGACAGGUGAAUUUUGCAAGAGACAAAAGCAGAGCAACACAUCCACAAGCUCUUACUUCUUGGUGCGGGAGAAUCAGGGAAGUCUACGAUAUUUAAACAGAUUAAGCUCCUUUUCCAAACUGGCUUUGAUGAGGCAGAACUUAGGAGCUACACAUCAGUUAUCCAUGCAAACGUCUAUCAGACAAUUAAAAUACUAUAUGAAGGAGCAAAAGAACUCUCACAAGUGGAAUCAGAUUCCUCAAAGUAUGUUAUAUCCCCAGAUAACCAGGUUUGUGCUUACUCUUUACUCAACAGUUAAAGCUAAAUCUGUGCAUAUGAACAUGUCUUGUUAAAUCUGGGAAUACAAACAUUUUGAUUUGCAACAUUUCUGUUGUAGUCAAGCUGCUCGGCUCUAUGUUUUAACCUGUUAAGACCUUGUAGACUGUGCUCGGCUCUAUUGUAGUCUUAUGUUUUACACGGUCAUUCUAUAAUGAAAACUUGAAAAAGAUAUCUAUUGAACCGUACAAUGUACUGAACAAAGUAGAAAAGAACAAUGAGAUUUUGUAACAUUUAUUCUUCCUUGUUUAUUUGAUUGCUUCAGACAAUUGUUGAUAUGCUAAAAAUAACUUGGUAUCAAAUGUGGGUGUUAUAAGAUUCAAUUUUUUUCUCAACCAGGUUAAAAAAACUAUACCUUUGUGCAUUUACCUUGUUCCGUUGCUUUGGAACUUUUAAGGAAAACUGACUUUUCUUAGACAUUGAAAGACAAAUAUCACCAGUUUCACACUGUACACCUUACCAACCAAUUUUGUUUCUAAGAUGUCAUUUACUUUGUCAUAUCAUCACGAAAUUGGAGAAAAACUAUCAGAUAUUGAUGGCAGGUUGGAUUAUCCACUGCUGAACAAAGAACUUGUACUCGAUGUAAAAAGGUUAUGGCAAGACCCAGCCAUUCAGGAAACUUACUUACGUGGAAGUAUUCUGCAACUUCCUGAUUGUGCACAAUACUUCAUGGAAAAUUUGGAUCGAUUAGCUGAAGCAGAUUAUGUGCCAACAAAGUUGGAGGGGCCUUUAUCCAUAGAACCAUCGAGGAAGGAAGGGGAAUUUUGGUGAGAAUAUCCGUCAAUUAAACAACUGAACCACCUUAUGAAAACUCAAUAACCAAAACACCCUUAGCUCCACCAAGAGAUAGCCAAUUCCCCUCCCAAGCCGAUACCGCCAAAAUCCUUAUUUGAUGAACCAUUUGAGCCGAUCCCAACAGACUUCAUGAUUUUACAAAAAAACACACCUCCUCUCCUUUAUGAACCCAUCAAAUAUAUACUAUGUUUUUCCCAAGUAUGUAAAUGCUCAGUUGUUGCCCAUUGAAUGGAGUGUACAUCAAUUAGUGAAGAUCGUGCCUCAAGACCACGACUCUGAUGAAUUAUGGAGUGCAAUACGUGGUGAUGAUUGUGUCGAGUAUGGAUAUGUUCACCCAGAGUGCCGUAGACAAUGACCUAAAGUUGAUAGUGUUUACUCUAUGGAAGUUCUCAGGACACCAGAUUUGACACUGUAACAUGGAUUUUUCGACAACAAAUGUGAAUGAUUUAUCCUCGAAGUGUAGAAAUAUCCAUGCUAUCAGAAAUAACUUCAAGUGCAAGUAAUAUUUGUGCCAAUAUUUAUGAGAGCUUUAACCAUUCUAUACCAUUAUGCCAUGGCAACAUUAAGGCUCCAUCUCCAGGUUAAGCUAUUGCAUUGUUGCUAGGAAUUAUCAGCAAACAAAUUAAGUGAUGGAGGGAGCUCCAUCUCCAGAUUGGCUACAAGAGGAAAUGCUCCGAGGUCAAGCUAUUGAUCCAAAACAAGCACUUCCGGCAGGCCCCCCAAAUUUGACGGGACAGCCCUGCAACUACACACAUACUAUAGGCUGCUAAUGGGAUAAGGAAACACGUUUGAGGUAACACGAAGGAAAUCAUCACUGAAACUAGGAAAAAUAAUCGGCAACCGAUGGCAGGCCAAGCUUGAUGCUCUAGAAUAGAGGGAACACAUUCUGUGCACAAAAGCUUCGCAUGCACACAAUUAACACACUUAUGUCUAUGAUAUUUGAGAAGAAAAUACAAAAGGUAAAGGCUGCCCUUUAUACCCAUACAGAGUUUAAAAGGAUUGUUAAGAAAUUUGAAGAGCUGUACAUCCGGAGCAGCAGGCCUGACUGUGUAGACCACGUGUUCAAAAUCUACAGAACAACGGCCCUAGACCAGAAACUUGUAAAGAAGACAUUCAAGUUGAUUGAUGAGAGCAUGAGAUGCUCCAGGGAAGGAACUUGAUUCAGAGCUGAGACUGGGUUGUUGUAAGUCACACAGGGAAGGUACGCAAUUAGGAUGACGAGAAGAACAGAGUUUCACAUUGUCAUAGCGUUAUCUGCUGUAAUUCUUUUACAUGUCGACCAUUGAUUGAUCAUAUUUUUGUUCUCUAAUUAGCCGUUGUGUAUAUUUUCCCUGAAUUAGAUUCUCUACCUGUUGUCUAUGUGCAUUAUCGUGAUUUGUUAAUUUGCAUAGCAGACUUUUCAUUA